UUGAAGUCCAUACUACGCGCUCGCUUGGCCCGGCGAGAGCGUCUGUCCUCCUCAAACAUGGUUUAUUGCGCCAUUGUCGGCUGUAACAGCCGCACACAGAGCAAGCAACAAAAGAUAAAGUCGAACGAGAAGGAUCCAAGUUUUUUCAAGAUACCGAAGGUUCGCAUGAACGAGUGCGAGAAAACAAGACUGCUGUCCGAGAGACGACGCAGGGAAUGGCUGGCGCGAAUCAAACGUGCUGGAAUCGCGGGGGAUCCUGACAAGUACAAGGUCUGCUCACGUCACUUCUUAUCAGGCUCACCCUCUGGUCUGUUUGACGACUGCAAUCCUGAUUGGGCUCCUUCACUACACCUGGGAUACAAUGCUGAGCCUGCCCAUGAUGGAAGGUACAAGCGCCUGAUGGCACGACAUUCCAGAAGCCGGCAGGCACCCCCAGAUGCCAAUCAACAUGUGGACAUAUCACCUGAAACCGCC